UGCCAGCCGCCGCGGUAAUACGAAGGGAGCUAGCGUUGUUCGGAAUUACUGGGCGUAAAGCGCGCGUAGGCGGAUUUUUAAGUCAGGGGUGAAAUCCCGGAGCUCAACUCCGGAACUGCCUCUGAUACUGGAAAUCUAGAGAUUGGAAGAGGUGUGUGGAACUCCUAGUGUAGAGGUGGAAUUCGUAGAUAUUAGGAAGAACACCAGAGGCGAAGGCGACACACUGGUCCGAUACUGACGCUGAGGUGCGAAAGCGUGGGGAGCAAACAGGAUUAGAUA
rnacentral:rRNA from 1 species